rnacentral:rRNA from 1 species
GAAAGGUAAGCACUGCUCUGGUCGGGUCUUUCCUUCUGGGGAACCUGCGUGCUCUUAAUUGAGUGCGCAGGGGAUCCAGGACUUUUACUUUGAAAAAAUUAGAGUGUUUAAAGCAGGCCUACGCCCGAAUACAUUAGCAUGGCAUAAUAAAAUAGGACGUGCGGUUCUAUUUUGUUGGUU